rnacentral:rRNA from 1 species
AGUGAACGCUGGCGGUAGGCCUAACACAUGCAAGUCGAACGGCAGCACAGUAAGAGCUUGCUCUUACGGGUGGCGAGUGGCGGACGGGUGAGGAAUACAUCGGAAUCUACUUUUUCGUGGGGGAUAACGUAGGGAAACUUACGCUAAUACCGCAUACGACCUACGGGUGAAAGCAGUGGAUCUUCGGACCUUGCGCGAUUGAAUGAGCCGAUGUCGGAUUAGCUAGUUGGCGGGGUAAAUACCCACCAAGGCGACGAUCCGUAGCUGGUCUGAGAGGAUGAUCAGCCACACUGGAACUUGGCCACGGUCCAGACUCCUACGGGAGGCAGCAGUGGGGAAUAUUGGACAAUGGGCGCAAGCCUGAUCCAGCCAUACCGCGUGGGUGAAGAAGGCCUUCGGGUUGUAAAGCCCUUUUGUUGGGAAAGAAAAGCAGCAGGUUAAUACCCCGCUGUUCUGACGGUACCCAAAGAAUAAGCACCGGCUAACUUCGUG